AACAUUACCUCCCGUGACUGUUAGACCCACCGUUAGACUUCUUAGUAGUUUUAAAGCUGGAGACUUAGGGCUUCCGGCUUGCUAGCAAGCAUUCUACCAACUGAGUUACAUCUAUAGCACUGUUUGGUGUACAUUUUGUGUUGAGGGUUUCAGAAACCGAAGUCAUUGGAUAGCAGUGCUGGUCUUGAACACUCUGUGAAGGUAACUGAAGGAGAGGUGAUGCGGAUGAUACCCAGAGACCACGACUCCGAUGCCAUCAGCAGAAACCAGGAAUGACUAAUUUGGAUUCUGCUUGUUUCAAGAACAUCUGUGCGAUUUCUUCUUCUGAUAAGCACAUCUGAUUCUGAAUAUUCUAGAAGACUCUGGGCUUUACAUAUUCAUGCUUCUGGUAGAUGAUCAUUUAGUGUUCAUGGAGAGUUCUGGACUAGACACUGGGGAGAAGUCGCAUUGAAAUAAGUGACACCUCAACAUGACUAAAGCAGAGGUUCAACCCUUGGAAGGGCGUCUGACCUGUGGGCAGAGGCAUCUCACACAUGUAUCAUACGGCUGAGGUAGAGUCUCUAGCGUGGGAUACAUUUGAUAAGAGUGUCUAUUCACUUUGCCACCUGGCAUGCUGAGGUUUGAAUGAUGGCUGGUGGUACAUUUGGUCUUCUUAGAAACUAUUAUAUUAUAUUAUGGUGUGUGUGUGUGUGUGUGUGUGUGUGUGUGUGUAGGAACACAUGGCAAAGUGUGUUUUUGAAGGUCAGAGAAAAUCUUACAGGACUCAUUUCUCUGCUUUCAUCUACCUCGUUGAUCCUAAGGAUCGAACUCAUGUCCUAAGGCUUCCUGACAAGUUCCCUUACCCACAGCUCACAUGUGUUCACUAACAGUGUUCUUUCGUAUCUGUUAACUUGAUGCAUCCGUUCAGAAAUUGCACUUUGCACAUCAGUCAGGUUAGCUGCAACCAGUAGAAACAGCAUGGAAUUUCUUGUUCUGUGCUCUGGGACUGGUGUCAGUGUGAAUUCUGUUGUGAGACAUAGCUUCCUUUUUCCUGCUCCUUCAUGCCUCCCAAUAAAGAUACUAAGUGGCUCCUAAGCAUCAGUCAGGGGAAGAAAUAGAGAUGCCACAGCAGUCUCACCAUCAGAAGAGAGAGAGAUGCUUUCUUGAGGCAGGCUAAGUGCAUCUCUAUGGAUUCUAGGAUCAGGAGGAAACCUAGGGAUCUAGAUGAAUACUCCUCCAACAGAAAGUUUCCUUCCUAUGUUGGACAGUCGCUCAAAUGGCCACUAGAGUUUCAGUUACUUCAUUGAGCUUCUAGACCCCUCUUUUGGCAUGGUCCUAUACUCACUAGAGACAGGAUUUUCUUAAAUGCAAGCAGCAGAUGGCUGAUUAAGCAUAGUUUACAUGGAACUAAGAUCUUUUGCUUUUUGUAAGUGGGGAGACAUUUCACAUACUAUUGUUUGCUGUCUUGUCUUUUUCUUCAUGUGGGCUCAUCUUAAGAUGGCUUCCAUUGUGAUAUUGAUAACUCCCUGUAAUUAUUCAGCUUUUAACUAACCUGUUUGGUGAGAUCGUAGUCAAAAGCCCAAGUGUCUCCUUCCAAAGUUGAGGUGGGGGAACACCCCAGGGAAAGCUUAGAUUGGACCAUCCUGGGUGACAUGUCCAUUUCUAAAUCAGGAAGCUCAAUGAGCACCCUGAAGGAUCUGGUAAGUCUCACUUGGGCCGUGGUGACUUAAAAAUGGGACACAAAUGUUUCCCAAGGCUGUUUGGUAUCCAAAUAAGCAUGCUUACCACACAUGUCUAACUCAACAUGGCUACAAUCAAGUCCUCUGUCUUUUUAUGUUUCAGUUUUGCGAGUGUACACAUGUGUGUGUUCAUGCAUGUGGUGGUCUGAGGAUAACCUCAGUGUUUCCUUAGGAGCAUCCACCUUGGUUUUUAUGUUUGGCUUUUAAGACAGGUUUUUCACUCAGUGUCAUACUACUGUUCUAACUGGGUUGGAUGAUCUACAAGAUUCUGGAAUCCCCUUACCUCUGUCUCCCCGGUGCGUGCCCCAGCACUAUCUUAUUUUUGGAUGCCCAGUUCAGGUCAUCAUCCUCAUGGGGUAAGCCCAUUACAAAAUGAGCCAUCUCCCUGCCCCUGUCCAUGCUUUAAUCAACAACACGUUUAUCAUCUUUAUGCUAUGUUAGCCAAACCAGAACAAAGAAACCUAGAUUUCUUCCUAACCUUCAUAUUUAUUCACGAAGUCUUUUUACUUUGACUUUCAUCUUUCUCAAAGUCACCUACUUCUCCCAGAUUGGACUUUGUCAUCAUCUCCGGAUUUUCUCAGCCUUUUAACUGAGCCCCUGGUUUAAAGGGCACUGAGAAAUCUGCACACAUCUUCCCAGCAAACAAAAUGAUAUUUUCAAAGCCAGAGUCUGCGAGUUUUGCAGGCUAGUCUGAAUAAUCUCAGCGGCCAUUCCCCUGCUUUUAAGAUAAGGGACAAAACUCCACACAUCUAAAACGAUCCCUCAUGAUUUGAACAUUGUAUGCUCCCAGAGUAUAAAGUUUUGUUUUGGCUGUCAAUUCCUUUGGCAGUAUUUUAGACUGUUACAUCUGUAGCAGUGGGUUUAGGGACCAAUCUGAAUGGUUUUAAGAUGGAGUGACGAGAGUGGUAAGUGACACCCACAGACAGCUUGCUGUCUUCUGCUAGGCGGGAUGACUUCUCUUCCUUACAUUGGUGCUUGGCUGCAGUUAAUGAUGUCUGAUGUGAAGGUUUCCAGAUUGUACAGACUUUUGCCGAAGGAAUUUACAAUAUUUCUGACAUUGACUUCUUCACCAAUGGGAUUUUGGAGCACUGCGAACUCUAAAUAGACUCUUCAGGCAACUUAUGAUGGACAAGAAACAGAAAGUGAGAAGCAGAAAAUUCAAAAAGCAUUUAAGCCAAUACUGGGCAUGUUUACUGCCGCAGCAUACACUUGCCCAACAUGCCUGAGGAAAUGUACCCAGCAUGACUUACGACACAUCAUCUUUUUCAUCAAAAUGACAUUGUAGAGGCUUGAGAGAUGACUCAGUGGUUCAUAGCACUGCCUGCUCUUCCAGUGGGUCCAGAUUCAAAUCCCAGCUCCCAUAGGCGGCUAGUAACCAACUAACUACAGCCUUCGGGGAUCUGAUGCCCUCUUCUGUCCUCUGUGGGCAUUGCACACUUGUGGUACACAGACAAACAUGCAAAUACUAGUACACAUAAAAUAAAAAUAAAAUCUCAAAAAUGUUUUUAAAUGGUAUUGUGAAGGCACCUCAAGGCCAUCGUUUUCUAACCUAUGAUUCUGUAAAAUCCAAUAAAAUUUUUAGGCAUCUUCA